CCUCUAGAAGAUUCGUCGCUCUACAUAAGCGUGUGGCGGUCGAAUGUUCUAGAGAGUUCCGCCGCCGCCUCUAGAAGAUUCCUCUGACUAUUUAAGGGCAAGAUCGUCGCUCCAAUCAAUCAAUCGAUCAGUCAAUCACUUACGCACUCUGUCUUAAACGCGCUUCGUCUCUCGCUGUUAUUUGUUAGUUCGUUGUAAUAUAGUAUAGUUGUUAUUAAAAUCGUAAAAGUGUUUAUUACUUCUAUAUAUAUUACACCUCGCUAUAUUACUACAUCUUCAAACAAUACGUAGCAUAUAUUUUUUUAUACAUGUAUACAUUUUAUGUAUGUAUUAGUUGCUGUUUAUACUAUAACUUGUAACUAUAUGAACAUAUAUCUAAAUAAUUACGCGAGGGAGGGUAUAGUAAUCGAUGGCAGUCGCGGUGUACGCGAUUGACGUGGAGGAGUAAGAAGAGGAGGUUGGAAAAUUAAAGUUUUUAGAGGAUAUUGCAAUUUUUACCGAGCUAUCGGCCAUAAGGAAAUAGAGUGCCCCAAGAAAGAGGCUCCAGUAACAGCGGAGGUAGCGGUUCCAGUAUCAGCAGAGGUGGCGGGUCCAGUAUCAACGGAGGUGGCGGCUUCAGUAAUAGCGGCGACGGCAGCUCCAGAAGCUAUAAUACAAUAAAAUUAAAAAAUAAUUAUUAUAUAGUAUAAUUAUUUUUAUAUAUUAUUAAAUAUUUUUUAUUUUCUCAUUAA